rnacentral:rRNA from 1 species
UACAGAGGUCGCAAGCGUUGUCCGGAAUUAUUGGGCGUAAAGGGCGCGUAGGCGGCCUUCUAAGUCGAACGUGAAAUCCCUGGGCUCAACCCAGGAACUGCGUCCGAUACUGGAAGGCUUGAAUCCGGGAGAGGGAUGCGGAAUUCCAGGUGUAGCGGUGAAAUGCGUAGAUAUCUGGAGGAACACCGGUGGCGAAGGCGGCAUCCUGGACCGGUAUUGACGCUGAGGCGCGAAAGCCAGGGGAGCAAACGGG